ensembl:lncRNA
AUGUUUCCCAAAGAGGUUGAGAGAGAGGGAACAAUGGACAGAGGGGUGGAGAGAGAGAUGGAGAGGGAACAAUGGACAGAGGGGUGGAGAGAGAUGUGGAGAGGGAACAAUGAACAGAGGGGUAGAGAGAGAGGUGGAGAGGGAACAAUGGACAGAGGGGUGGAGAGAGAGGUGGAGAGGGAACAAUGGACAGAGGGGUAGAGAGAGAGGUGUAGAGGGAACAAUGGACAAAGGGGUGGAGAGAGGUGGAGAGGGAACAAUAGACAAAGGGGUGGAGAGAGGUGGAGAGGGAGAGAACAAUGGACAGAGGGCUAGAGAGAGAGGUGGAGAGAGAGAGAGAGAGGUGGAGAGAGAGGGAACAAUGGACAGAGGGGUAGAGAGAGAGAUGGAGAGUGAGAGAACAAUGGACAGAGGGAUGGAGAGAGAGAGAGAGAGAGAGAGAGAGAGAUGAAUAGAGCACCAGGAGAGGAGCGGGCGGUGGUCUUGAUAGCAUGAGGAUAUAUUACCAGAAAAUAAAAACAGAGCUGGAGGAGAUGAGGGUAAAACACAGUCCCCUCCAGAGAACCAGAGCUUUAACACCUUUUCACAAGAUAUUCCUCUCUUCACAGGAUGGAACAGUUUGUCAAACAGUCCCAGAAUGCACCUCAACUAGGCCAGAGCGCUGUCAGUGGAACACAUUUCCCUAAUUGCCCAAUAAAGUACAGCAUGUUUGGCAAUAGGGGAAUAUGUUUGUCCUGGACUGUUUUGUUCUGUAAAUACUGUCUGUAGGUAACCUUGCAUGGGAACAAUGUAAUACAAAGAAAACAUAGAACUUGUUAGCAGUAACAGGCCAUAAACUUACCAGGGUGCUGUAAUUGAUAAAGCUCUCUGAAAUAAAUAAAUACUCAGGAACAUGUUGAAUAUCAUAACUUAAACAUUCUCCCAAUUUAUACACCAAGUCCCAUCUGCUUCUGUAGCCCCAGUCUGUUCUGCCAAGCUAAGCCGGGUACAGAGCUAGAGAACACAACAGAACAAUGGGUUAAGGUUAGUCAUGUAGACUUCCCCUCAGGGCCAGUCACUUUGAUAAGGUUCCAUACCUCCAGGCCUUCUUCCACCGUACCCUCUCUCUCCCUGUCCCUCUCAGUACGACACUCCCUCCGGCGUUCCUGCUUUACGGAGUGUGACACGGCUUCGCGGACGACUAACCCCGCAGAGACAGAACGACAUUAAGGAACCCUGAAACAGGCUGAAACACAACCUCCAUUACCCCCACCCUCUCUUGCCCUUCUCUUCCCCG